rnacentral:lncRNA from 1 species
GGUAGGAUUUUAUAAAAGAGUAGGUGCCUAAACAGAAAGAAAAGGACUAGAACCUAAUUACUUUUGAACUAUGCAGGACCUCGGGUCCAAUAAAGAAAUAAACAUAUGAGCUAUUAGAAAUGUUAUCCAGAUACAAGCAUACUUGCUAUAAUAUAUUUUUUCACAAUCUCGUUGAAAUUUCAGUACGAAAUGACACUUUUAACUUUUUGAUUCGUCAUAGAUCGGAAGAUUUCUUGUAGUGUAACUAUAUAGUCUAGUGUGUGUAUAAAUGCACUAUCCAUAUCAAUAGUCAUAGUCAUGUAGGGCACAACUAAUGCCUAAAUAAUCAUGGGAUACUAAACCAUCUUAAUUGAAAAAUAUAUGAACUAUAAAAUUUUAGAUCUGUUUGAUCACUAGAACAUUGAUAAGAGCUGCUUUACAUCGAGGGUUGUUUGAAAAAUUCAGAAAUUCUAGAUUUCAAAAUUUGAGAAUUGAUAAUGAUUUUUUGGACUAUUAAAUGCCAUAGAU